rnacentral:rRNA from 1 species
GACGGUACUUGAUGAAUAAGCCACGGCUAAUUCCGUGCCAGCAGCCGCGGUAAUACGGGAGUGGCAAGCGUUAUCCGGAAUUAUUGGGCGUAAAGCGUCCGCAGGCGGCCUUGUAAGUCUGUCGCCAAAGCGUGGAGCUUAACUCCAUUUAAGCGAUGGAAACUGCAAGGCUAGAGUGUGGUAGGGGCAGAGGGAAUUCCCGGUGUAGCGGUGAAAUGCGUAGGUAUCGGGAAGAACACCAGUGGCGAAGGCGCUCUGCUGGGCCAUAACUGACGCUCAUGGACGAAAGCCAGGGGAGCGAAAGGGAUUAGAUACCCCUGUAGUCCUGGCCGUAAACGAUGAACACUAGGUGUCGGGGGAAUCGACCCCCUCGGUGUCGUAGCCAACGCGUUAAGUGUUCCGCCUGGGGAGUACGCACGCAAGUGUGAAACUCAAAGGAAUUGACGGGGGCCCGCACAAGCGGUGGAGUAUGUGGUUUAAUUCGAUGCAACGCGAAGAACCUUACCAGGGUUUGACAUCCUGCGAAUCCUUUGGAAACGAGGGAGUGCCUUCGGGAGCGCAGAGACAGGUGGUGCAUGGCUGUCGUCAGCUCGUGUCGUGAGAUGUUGGGUUAAGUCCCGCAACGAGCGCAACCCUCGUCCUUAGUUGCCAGCACGUAAAGGUGGGAACUCUAGGGAGACUGCCGGUGACAAACCGGAGGAAGGUGGGGAUGACGUCAAGUCAGCAUGCCCCUUACGUCCUGGGCGACACACGUACUACAAUGGUCGGGACAAAGAGCAGCGACCUCGCGAGAGUCAGCGAAUCUCAGCAAACCCGGCCUCAGUUCAGAUCGCAGGCUGCAACUCGCCUGCGUGAAGGAGGAAUCGCUAGUAAUCGCCGGUCAGCAUACGGCGGUGAAUUCGUUCCCGGGCCUUGUACACACCGCCCGUCACACCAUGGAAGCUGGCCACGCCCGAAGUCGUUACUCUAACCUUAAUUGGAGGAGGGCGC